rnacentral:rRNA from 1 species
UACGUAGGGUGCAAGUGUUGUCCGGAAUUAUUGGGCGUAAAGAGCUUGUAGGCGGUUUGUCGCGUCUGCUGUGAAAUUUCGGGGCUCAACCCCGAACUUGCAGUGGGUACGGGCAGACUAGAGUGUGGUAGGGGAGACUGGAAUUCCUGGUGUAGCGGUGAAAUGCGCAGAUAUCAGGAGGAACACCGGUGGCGAAGGCGGGUCUCUGGGCAGUAACUGACGCUGAGGAGCGAAAGCGUGGGGAGCGAACAGG